GUCAAGUGGGCAAGUGGGUAGAAAAGCACUCAAGUACUUUGUGAUAUUUUGAAGAGUUUUGUGAGCAAUUCCCACACUAAGAACCGACCACUCUCCCUCUCUCAUUCACUCAUCUGAUUUUUGAAGACCUUUCAAAGUGUUCUCUCAAUAUUCAACCUCAAGAACACCAAGGAAAACUUGGAGGCUAAGUCUUGGUCUAGGAAGUAUUUUUCCCUAAGGGUUUUUGAAAGGUUUUGAAGGAGUCAAAGCUUAUAGGAAGGUCCAAACCUUAAGCAAGAACACCAAAGAUGUAAAAAGUUUACUUUUGAUGAUUUUGUUGUAGGGUUUUUAGUUUUAAGCAUUAUUUUGUAUAUCUAAUGCUUAAAGUUUCUUGUUGGUGAUGUAAUAAGGUUAUUGUAGUUGUUUAAUAAUUUUUAUGAUGCA